rnacentral:rRNA from 1 species
UACGUAGGGGGCAAGCGUUGUCCGGAUUUAUUGGGCGUAAAGCGCUCGCAGGUGGUUCGUCGCGUCGUGCGUGAAAGACCCCGGCUCAACUGGGGGAGGUCGUGCGAUACGGGCGGACUGGAGGCCAGUAGGGGGAUGCGGAAUUCCGGGUGUAGUGGUGGAAUGCGUAGAGAUCCGGAGGAACGACCAGCGGCGGAAGGCGGCAUCCUGGACUGGUCCUGAC